GGGCCGCUAGCUCAAGUGGUAGAGCACCUGCCUUUUAAGCAGGGGGUACCGAGUUCGAACCUCGGGCGGCUCA
rnacentral:tRNA from 1 species